AUGAGUUCGUCGUUUGAUUCUUCCGAAGAAGAAUUUGAUAUGGAAGAGGAGGAGGAUCUUGCGAUGAUCCUAGCUAUGCAUAUCAAUAAAAAACCGAAGCACGGUGGUUCGGUUAUGGGUCGAGAGAAAAUUUGGAGAGAUAGGAUUGAUGCCCAUAACAGAUUGAUGAAGAACUAUUUCGUGGAGAAUCCCACAUACCCGGAGUCGUAUUUUCGUCGCCGGUUUAGGAUGAGCACCGACUUGUUCAGGCACAUUGCAGAGAAACUAGCGAGUCAUGACCGGUUUUUCCAGCAAAGGAGGAAUGCCGCCGGAGAGCUCGGGCAUAGCACCUUUCUAAAGGUGACAGCCGCUUUGCGUAUGUUGGCAUACGGUAUCCCGGCUGAUCUAGUUGAUGAUCACUUAGCUAUGGGUGAGAGCCAAGCCAUCAUGUGUGUCAAGCGCUUUGCAGUGGGAAUUGUGCAAGUGUUUGGCGAGGAGUAUUUGAGAUCUCCCACUACUGAAGACGCCGCAAGGCUAUUGGCGAUGAACAGCGCUCGCGGCUUUCCUGGCAUGCUUGGCUCAAUAGAUUGCAUGCAUUGGAGUUGGAAGAAUUGUCCAAAGGCAUGGCACGGACAAUUCCAUGGCCAAAAAAAGGUUUCACUAUAA
rnacentral:rRNA from 1 species